ACAGAAAGAGCCAGGAUCCCAGACUGUGCUGAAGCUUCAUGAGACCUCUCCUCGUCUGUGCACGAAAGAGGAGCCGGACACAGAGUGUCCAGCCGACUCUGGAGCCCAGGCUGUUGCUUCCCGGUCUGGUGGUGAGUCCUCCAUUGUCUGAUGUGGGUAAGUCCAAGACCAAGGAGCCAGCAGAUUCAGAGUCCAGGGAGGGCUGUUCCUGAUUUGCAGAUGGCGCCUUCUCUUUAUGUCUUCACAAGAUUGUGAAGCCUGUAGCUUGGAAGAUACAGGACAUAGGUGAAAGUGUUUGUACCAUUCAUUUAAAGGCAUAAAUGUCCAAUGGGGCCAUCUUGUGAUACAUGCACUGUCACAGGAAAAGUUUCCAGGAAAAGUCAAGCCAGGGCUUCACAGAAGAUCAAAAGAAAGAGACAAGGAGAAGCUAAGUGUAUUAGUCAGGAUUCUCUAAGGGACAGAACUAAUAGAAUAUAUAUACACACACAAACACACACACACACACAUAUAUAUACAUAUAAAUAAAAGGGAGUUUAUUAAGGAGUAUUAACUCACACAAUCACAAGGUCCCACAACAGGCCGGGCCAUCUGUAAGCUGAGGAACAAGGAAGCCAGUCUGAAUCCCAAAGAUGACAAACUUGGAGUUCAAUGUUCAAGGGCAGGAAGCAUCCAGCACAGGAGAUAGAUGUAGGCUGGGAGGCUAAGCCAGUCAAGACUUUUCACGUUUUUCUGCCUGUUUCAUAUCCUAGCUGCAAUGGCAGCUGAUUAGAUGGUGCCCACCCAGAUUAAGGGUGGGUCUGCCUUUCCCAGCACACUGACUCAAAUGUUUAUCUCCUUUGGCAACACCCUCACAGACACACUCAGGAUUAAUAUUUUGCUUCCUUCCAUCCAAUCAAGUUGACACUCAGUAUUAACCAUCACACUAAGCUUGUUAUUUUAUAGAAAUGCUUGAAAACCAGAGAUAAAUGCAGCUACAAAUGAACGAUGACUCUGCGUUUUCCUUGUAUAUAUAAAGAUCAACAAUAACACUUAGGUCAUGAAACCCACCUACUUUACAGAUCAUUAUGGAAAUAAUACACUGCUUCAGCAAUGGAGAAACAAUCAUCCAUAUUUAUGCAAGAACUAAAUUCAAGUUUGAAAGCUUGCUUUGAGCUUGAAGAUAUAAAACAUGAUUCUGUGACAGUAAACAAUGUAUAACAAAUCUUACAGAAAUUUAUGUGAUUACUAAAAAAAAAUCAAUUCAUCAAUUCAAUAAACUGAGUACCGUAUUACUUUUCUAUUGCUUCUUUACCAAAUAAAUACAAGCUUUGCAGUUUAAAACAACAGAAAUUUAAUUUUUUAUAGUUCUGAGGGUCAGUAACCUAAAACUGAUCUUAUGAAAUAAAGUUAAAUCUUGGGGAUAUGGGUGUGGACAGGGCUGGUUUCUUCUGGGGCUCUGAUGGUAAAAUUUGCUUCCUUGCCUUUUCUCCUUCUAGGGAGCCUGCAUUCCCUGCCUCCUAGUGGCUUCCUCCCAUCACUCGAACCUCUGUUUCCAGCCUCAGGAUUCCUAAUGUGACUCUGACGUUUCAUCUCCUGUUUAUGAGGACGCUUCUGAUUGCUAAGAUACAUACGGUGACACUAUGGAAGUUAACUUGAAGAUUAAAACCCUGAAAAAUAGAAAGAAUCUUCUAUGGUAUAUCACAGAGAUUACAAGGGCCUGAAUUAGAGUGGUGACAUUUUCAUCCCUUGAUAAUGGAUUAAAAACAAUUGAAUGAAGCUUUGGGGUGAACUUACAGGACUUUAUGGCAAACUUCAUAUGGGAGACUUACAUGAAGGGAGGAAGAAAUGCGUAUGUGUACAAAAUCAUGUGGAUAGAUGUGCAUUUGUGGGUAUCUGUGAAUACAAAUACACAAUUUUCAGACAGAAGUAGUAUAAGAAAAGGAAAUCAAACAAAGUCAAACAUUUUAAGUGUAGCUCUUGGUGCACUUUAAAAAAUUAUUAAAUUGAAGCUGUAGUUUAUUCUCAUCAUUGUCAUCCUAUAUUAGUGAUUUUCUUUAGCUUUUGAAAUUAAAUUCAUAAUAUUACAAUUCUGAAUUCCUAUGUAUGUAUAUGUUAAGAAUCCUUUAAUGGGACUGACUUUCAUAUGUGUGUGGCUGCAUUCUGAAAUAGUUGUCUAGUUGAUACAUAAAGCAGUGAGUGCUAUUUGUAAGAUAUAUUUAUAUUUAAAGUCUUCAUACAGUUAUUAACUAGCUCCAAUAUUACUGAAAUGAUUUCUCCAAAUAUCCUAUAUUUAAUUAUCAUGCUGGCAAAUUUAUUAUAACUUUGGUUUGAAAAAAUAUAUUAUGAUACAUAUCCACUGACUAAUGCCACCUAUCUGCUUUCCUGAAUUCAAAGUUUAUGAUUAUUUCCAUAAAUGUAUUUAUCAGUAUAAUCAAAAAUAAAAAUAACAUAAAUAAAAUUUCUGUGAGCUUUACACAUCUAAUGUGCAAUGAUUAUAAAUCUGGUCUUAUACACAUGGUAAAAAACAUUUAAGUCACAAAAGUAUACUUCAGGUUUAAGUAUAAAUCUGAAAUUAAAUUCUCAGAUUUAAGUAUAAUUUUUAAAAGCUUUGGUAAUUGUGUCCCUACUGUUAAAUUUAUUGUAUAGUUUUCACUAUAUCAUCUGACCUUUUAAUGUUUCUAGAAACUUGUGUGAGGUCUCAUACUUCAUGGCUAAUAAAGUAUUUAUUUUUCUAUUCUU
rnacentral:lncRNA from 1 species